UGGGGAGGUGGCUGUGCUAGUC
rnacentral:miRNA from 1 species